rnacentral:snRNA from 1 species
GUCCUCCAACAGCACAGCACAGCACAGCACAUAUAAUGACCCAGAGAUUAGUGUAGCCCUUGCACAAGGAUGAUAUGUUAAUUGAAGCAAAAACUAAACUGCUU